rnacentral:rRNA from 1 species
UACGUAGGGUGCAAGCGUUGUCCGGAAUUAUUGGGCGUAAAGAGCUCGUAGGCGGUCUGUCGCGUCGGAUGUGAAAACCCAGGGCUCAACCCUGGGCCUGCAUUCGAUACGGGCAGACUAGAGUUCGGUAGGGGAGACUGGAAUUCCUGGUGUAGCGGUGAAAUGCGCAGAUAUCAGGAGGAACACCAAUGGCGAAGGCAGCACUCUGGGACGUGACUGACGCUGAGUCGCGAAAGCGUGGGGAGCAAACAGG